rnacentral:rRNA from 1 species
GAUGAACGCUGGCGGCGUGCCUAAUACAUGCAAGUCGAGCGAACAGAUAAGGAGCUUGCUCCUUUGACGUUAGCGGCGGACGGGUGAGUAACACGUGGGUAACCUACCUAUAAGACUGGAAUAACUCCGGGAAACCGGGGCUAAUGCCGGAUAACAUGUUGAACCGCAUGGUUCUACAGUGAAAGACGGUCUUGCUGUCACUUAUAGAUGGACCCGCGCCGUAUUAGCUAGUUGGUGGGGUAACGGCCUACCAAGGCGACGAUACGUAGCCGACCUGAGAGGGUGAUCGGCCACACUGGAACUGAGACACGGUCCAGACUCCUACGGGAGGCAGCAGUAGGGAAUCUUCCGCAAUGGGCGAAAGCCUGACGGAGCAACGCCGCGUGAGUGAUGAAGGUCUUCGGAUCGUAAAGCUCUGUUGUUAGGGAAGAACAAAUGUGUAAGUAACUGUGCACAUCUUGACGGUACCUAACCAGAAAGCCACGGUUAACUACGUGCCAGCAGCCGCGGUAAUACGUAGGUGGCAAGCGUUAUCCGGAAUUAUUGGGCGUAAAGCGCGCGUAGGCGGUUUUUUAAGUCUGAUGUGAAAGCCCACGGCUCAACCGUGGAGGGUCAUUGGAAACUGGAAAACUUGAGUGCAGAAGAGGAAAGUGGAAUUCCAUGUGUAGCGGUGAAAUGCGCAGAGAUAUGGAGGAACACCAGUGGCGAAGGCGGCUUUCUGGUCUGCAACUGACGCUGAUGUGCGAAAGCGUGGGGAUCAAACAGGAUUAGAUACCCUGGUAGUCCACGCCGUAAACGAUGAGUGCUAAGUGUUAGGGGGUUUCCGCCCCUUAGUGCUGCAGCUAACGCAUUAAGCACUCCGCCUGGGGAGUACGGUCGCAAGACUGAAACUCAAAGGAAUUGACGG